rnacentral:rRNA from 1 species
UCUUCGGACGCUAUUCUCACCCUUUGUUUAUUAACUUUGUUGCUUUGGCAGGCCUCCGGCUUCGGCUGGGUCGUGUCUGCCAGAGGCCUAACUCUUGAAUCACUGCGGUCUGAGUACUAUAUAAUAGUUAAAACUUUCAACAACGGAUCUCUUGGUUCUGGCAUCGAUGAAGAACGCAGCGAAAUGCGAUAAUUAAUGUGAAUUGCAGACUCAGUGAAUCAUCGAAUCUUUGAACGCACAUUGCGCCCUCUGGUAUUCCGGGGGGCAUGCCUGUUCGAGCGUCAUUACAACCCUCAAGCUCUGCUUGGUGUUGGGCUCGCCCUGUAGGGCCUGCCUCAAAGUCAGUGGCGGCACCGUCUGACCCUAAGCGUAGUAAUACUCGCCGCUUGUGGACUCAGUGCGUGGCCUGCCAGCCAACCCCCACCAUCAAGGUUGACCUCGGAUCAGGUAGGGAUACCCGCUGAACUUAACCAUAUCAAAAGCCCGGAGGAA